GUGCUCAUUUCAGCGGCACAUACUCUACAAUUGGAACGAUACAGAGAAGAUUAGCAUGGCCCCUGUGCAAGGAUGACAUGCAAAUCUGUGAAGCAUUCCAUUAUUUU